GCCUGGCUGGCUCGGUCAGAAGAGCACGUGACUCUUGAUCUCAGGGUUGUGGGUUCGAACCCCACGUUGGGUG
rnacentral:tRNA from 1 species